UUUGGUGCAAUGAUUAUAAAAUAAUUCCUUGUUCUGAAUGCUGUUGCCACGGCAUGACAGACUCUUUACACCCAUAGAAUAUGAGCACCA
rnacentral:snoRNA from 1 species